ACUCAAAUGAAUUGACGGGGGCCCGCACAAGCAGCGGAGCAUGUGGUUUAAUUCGAAGCAACGCGAAGAACCUUACCAGGUCUUGACAUCCGAUUAAAGCGCUGGAAACAGCGUGUCCCUUCGGGGGAAUCGAGACAGGUGGUGCAUGGUUGUCGUCAGCUCGUGUCGUGAGAUGUUGGGUUAAGUCCCGCAACGAGCGCAACCCUUAUAUUUAGUUACUAACGCGUCAUGGCGAGGACUCUAGAUAGACUGCCGGGGACAACUCGGAGGAAGGUGGGGAUGAGGUCAAAUCAUCAUGCCCCUUAUGACCUGGGCUACACACGUGCUACAAUGGCCGUUACAACGAGGAUCGAAGCCGCAAGGCGGAGGGAAUCUAGAAAAGCGGUCCCAGUUCGGAUUGUGGGCUGCAACCCGCCCACAUGAAGUCGGAGUUGCUAGUAAUCGCGGAUCAGCAUGCCGCGGUGAAUACGUUCCCGGGCCUUGUACACACCGCCCGU
rnacentral:rRNA from 1 species